rnacentral:rRNA from 1 species
UGGGGAAUUUUGGACAAUGGGGGAAACCCUGAUCCAGCCAUCCCGCGUGUGCGAUGAAGGCCUUCGGGUUGUAAAGCACUUUUGGCAGGAAAGAAACGUCAUGGGUUAAUACCCCGUGAAACUGACGGUACCUGCAGAAUAAGAACCGGCUAACUACGUGCCAGCAGCCGCGGUAAUACGUAGGGUGCAAGCGUUAAUCGGAAUUACUGGGCGUAAAGCGUGCGCAGGCGGUUCGGAAAGAAAGAUGUGAAAUCCCAGAGCUCAACUUUGGAACUGCAUUUUUAACUACCGGGCUAGAGUGUGUCAGAGGGAGGUGGAAUUCCGCGUGUAGCAGUGAAAUGCGUAGAUAUGCGGAGGAACACCGAUGGCGAAGGCAGCCUCCUGGGAUAACACUGACGCUCAUGCACGAAAGCGUGGGGAGCAAACAGG